UGCAAGUCGAACGCUUAUUCCUCGGUAGCAAUAUUGAGGAGUAGGAGUGGCGCAAGGGUGCGUAACACGUGGAUCAUCUGCCUGGAAGUUCGGAAUAAUUCGGCGAAAGCCGGACUAAUGCCGGAUGUGGUUGGAAGACUAAAGCUGGGGACCCGCAAGGGCCUGGCGCUUCCAGAUGAGUCCGCGGCCUAUCAGCUAGUUGGCGGGGUAACGGCCCACCAAGGCGAAGACGGGUAGCUGGUCUGAGAGGACGACCAGCCUCACUGGAACUGAGACACGGUCCAGACACCUACGGGUGGCAGCAGUCGAGAAUUUUUCUCAAUGGGCGAAAGCCUGAAGGAGCGACGCCGCGUGGGGGAUGAAGGGCUUCGGCCCGUAAACCCCUGUCAUUUGCGAACAAGUGCCAUGGUUGAACAUUCCAUGGCUUGAUUGUAGCGAAAGAGGAAGGGACGGCUAACUCUGUGCCAGCAGCCGCGGUAAUACAGAGGUCCCGAGCGUUGUUCGGAUUCACUGGGCGUAAAGGGUGCGCAGGUGGGUUGGCAAGUUUGAUGUGAAAGCCCCGGGCUUAACCCGGGAAAGGCAUUGAAUACUGCUGAUCUGGAGGAU
rnacentral:rRNA from 1 species